UACGAAGGGGGCUAGCGUUGCUCGGAAUUACUGGGCGUAAAGGGAGCGUAGGCGGGUCGUCAAGUUGGGGGUGAAAGCCCAGGGCUCAACCUUGGAACUGCCUUCAAAACUGACGAUCUAGAGUAUGGAAGAGGUAAGUGGUACUCCGAGUGUAGAGGUGAAAUUCGUAGAUAUUCGGAAGAACACCAGUGGCGAAGGCGACUUACUGGUCCAUGACUGACGCUGAGGCUCGAAAGCGUGGGGAGCGAACAGG
rnacentral:rRNA from 1 species